ACGGGGGGUGCGAGCGUUGUCCGGAAUCACUGGGCGUAAAGCGCACGUAGGCGGCUUUGCAAGUCAGAGGUGAAAGCCCGGGGCUCAACCCCGGGAUUGCCUUUGAGACUGCAUCGCUAGAAUUGUGGAGAGGUAAGUGGAAUUCCGAGUGUAGAGGUGAAAUUCGUAGAUAUUCGGAAGAACACCAGUGGCGAAGGCGACUUACUGGACACAUAUUGACGCUGAGGUGCGAAAGCGUGGGGAGCAAACAGGA
rnacentral:rRNA from 1 species